rnacentral:rRNA from 1 species
CUUGGUCAUUUAGAGGAAGUAAAAGUCGUAACAAGGUUUCCGUAGGUGAACCUGCGGAAGGAUCAUUCAUAAUAAGUGUUUUAUGGCACUUUUUAAAUCCAUAUCCACCUUGUGUGCAAUGUCAGUCGAUCUUCUUCAUGGAGAUCGACCAAACAUCAACCUUUAUCUUUUAACUCUUUGUCUGAAAAAUAUUAUGAAUAAACAAUUCAAAAUACAACUUUCAACAACGGAUCUCUUGGCUCUCGCAUCGAUGAAGAACGCAGCGAAAUGCGAUACGUAAUGUGAAUUGCAGAAUUCAGUGAAUCAUCGAAUCUUUGAACGCAUAUUGCGCUCUUUGGUAUUCCGAAGAGCUUGCUUGUUUGAGUAUCAGUAAACACCUCAAAGCUUUUGGAUUUUUUAAUCGAAAAGCUUUGGACUUGAGCAAUCCCAACACCAAUCUUUUUGAGAUCGGUGGCGGGUUGCUUGAAAUGCAGGUGCAGCUGGACAUUCUCCUGAGCUAAAAGCAUAUUCAUUUAGUCCCGUCAAACGGAUUAUUACUUUUGCUGCAGCUAACAUAAAGGGAGUUUGACCGUAUUGGCUGACUGAUGCAGGAUUUCACAAGGGUCGGCAACGAUUCUUGUUAAACUCGAUCUCAAAUCAAGUAAGACUACCCGCUGAACUUAAGCAUAUCAAUAAGCGGAGGA